rnacentral:rRNA from 1 species
UACGAAGGGAGCUAGCGUUGUUCGGAAUUACUGGGCGUAAAGCGUGCGCAGGCGGUUCGUUAUGUCCGUUGUGAAAGCCCCGGGCUCAACCUGGGAAUGGCAAUGGAAACUGGCGAGCUUGAGUGUGGCAGAGGGGGGUGGAAUUCCGCGUGUAGCAGUGAAAUGCGUAGAGAUGCGGAGGAACACCGAUGGCGAAGGCAGUCCCCUGGGCCUGUACUGACGCUCAUGCACGAAAGCGUGGGGAGCAAACAGG